rnacentral:rRNA from 1 species
GUAUAGCAUUAUACCGUGAAACUGCGAAUGGCUCAUUAAAUCAGUUAUCGUUUAUUUGAUAAUACCUUACUACUUGGAUAACCGUGGUAAUUCUAGAGCUAAUACAUGCUGAAAAUCCCGACUUCGGAAGGGAUGUGUUUAUUAGAUAAAAAACCAAUGCCCUUCGGGGCUUUUUGGUGAUUCAUGAUAACUUUACGGAUCGCAUAGCCUUGCGCUGGCGACGGUUCAUUCAAAUUUCUGCCCUAUCAACUUUCGAUGGUAAGGUAUUGGCUUACCAUGGUUUCAACGGGUAACGGGGAAUUAGGGUUCGAUUCCGGAGAGGGAGCCUGAGAAACGGCUACCACAUCCAAGGAAGGCAGCAGGCGCGCAAAUUACCCAAUCCCGACACGGGGAGGUAGUGACAAUAAAUACUGAUACAGGGCUCUUUUGGGUCUUGUAAUUGGAAUGAGUACAAUUUAAACCUCUUAACGAGGAACAAUUGGAGGGCAAGUCUGGUGCCAGCAGCCGCGGUAAUUCCAGCUCCAAUAGCGUAUAUUAAAGUUGUUGCAGUUAAAAAGCUCGUAGUUGAAACUUGGGCCUGGCUGGCGGGUCCGCCUCACCGCGUGCACUCGUCCGGCCGGGCCUUCCUUCUGAAGAACCUCAUGCCCUUCACUGGGCGUGCUGGGGAAUCAGGACUUUUACUUUGAAAAAAUUAGAGUGUUCAAAGCAGGCCUUUGCUCGAAUACGUUAGCAUGGAAUAAUAAAAUAGGGCGUGCGUUUCUAUUUUGUUGGUUUCUAGAGACGCCGCAAUGAUUAACAGGAACAGUCGGGGGCAUCAGUAUUCAGUUGUCAGAGGUGAAAUUCUUGGAUUUACUGAAGACUAACUACUGCGAAAGCAUUUGCCAAGGAUGUUUUCAUUAAUCAGUGAACGAAAGUUAGGGGAUCGAAGACGAUCAGAUACCGUCGUAGUCUUAACCGUAAACUAUGCCGACUAGGGAUCGGGCGAUGUUCUUUUUCUGACUCGCUCGGCACCUUACGAGAAAUCAAAGUUUUUGGGUCUGGG